UACGGAGGGUGCAAGCGUUAUCCGGAUUCACUGGGUUUAAAGGGAGCGUAGGUGGGCUUGUAAGUCAGUGGUGAAAUCUCCGUGCUUAACACGGAAACUGCCAUUGAUACUAUAGGUCUUGAAUGUUCUGGAGGUUAGCGGAAUAUGUCAUGUAGCGGUGAAAUGCUUAGAUAUGACAUAGAACACCAAUUGCGAAGGCAGGUCUCUGGGCCGAUACUGACGCUGAGGAGCGAAAGCGUGGGGAGCGAACAGG
rnacentral:rRNA from 1 species